rnacentral:lncRNA from 1 species
GUCUUGCCUUAGGUUUUGUAUCCUAAAGAAGUCUUGCUUCGAGUUCUUUGUCAAGUAUAUGCAUGUAUGGUAGAGCAAACGUGAACAGACCCGAAGGAUUAUCAUCUUCUUGCGAUAUUCGUCGAUAUGUUUUCAUCCUGAUCGUAGCACCUCUAGGUAGUCGAUGCAUAGCGGCACAUCAAAGCGGAACACUGCUUCGCCCCUUUUCAUCGUCAGAAACGAUGUCUUUAGCGAGAAUAUCACAGGCACUAUAUUAUGCGGUUUCUUUUUUCCUUCUGACCCUCGAUCUCGAUAAUCGAGCCCCAACCUAAGCAAGCGUAUCUAUUACAGAUGUAUCGUGCAGGCGGAAAAGAUCAAGCGACUCGUGGGUCCAGGUUUGCGCACGUUAUCAACCUGAGACGAAGAUGCAAUUCACCGACAAGACGUAUCAACACCAUUAACGCUGCUAGAAGCUGCGGCCCUAGACGUACAGUUUGAGAGCAGAGAAACCUUCACGAAAUGAUAUCUUCAAAUAAAAGCCUACCCCUCAAAUACUCGAACCAUUGCCCGCACAGCUGGCUGCCUCAAGUCAACCAACGCAAUGUAAAAAGGCCGCGUUAGUUCCGCUGAACUGAUUCUCUCUCUCUGUCUCCAUCGUCGUAUCUUCUUCGUGCCGGAAACCGCACUCCGCCCUCGCAGUGAUCGUAGCGCCGACCGCAAUCGCGUGAGUUCGUCGAUCUCACACCUCCUUGCUCUAGCGAGAGGCGUGGCGCGGAAUCGCCACCGUCGGGAAAUCGCGCUACUCAGUAGGGUUACUUGAGGCGAAGUCGGGAUCGCCACGGCGAAGACAAGGAGGUGACAUAACCCCUUACAAUCAUAAACGCCUAAAGGGUGCAGCUAGUCCCGUUGUUGAUGUUACUACGGUGAUAACCGCAUGUUAGAGAAACUCUGACCCUGCGUUGAUUUUGCGCGCAUCGGCGAAGCAGUACUGCAAAGCAUUACAGACACUGGUACUUACUUAGUUGCUACUGAACCAGGGUAUUACCACACAACACCCAAUCAGCUCUGCAGUAAGAAUGAUUUUCCUCGGCUCAUAAAUUACCAACUUAACUGGUUCGUCCCUUCGAGCCAGUAGCGACAAUGGCCAUGAACCAUCUGUUGUUGUGUAAGAUAUACGGGACGAGCUCAUUGUUUCGUUGCUAACGGCGGAAUAACGCUCAUCGCCCAGUGACUGAAAUCUAUGCAGCGACACCAGGCUUCGGUCAGAGAAGAUCUCCAUAAACAUAGACAUACGACAAAUGGGUUAUAUAUCGUCUGCUAACCGCCCUCAGACCCGCCCAAGCCGCGCAGUCUAAUUUGAAGUUCACGUCGAGUCGCGUCCUAUGGUUACUGUAUUCGGUGAAGAACAUUUUCGGUCUACAUAAGGAGUCGUAACCCACACGAUAGCCUUCCUACGACAGCUGCUCCUCAAGCAUCAGUCAGAUCAAAUUUCAGUUAAUCAUGGACUAUUUCCUAUGAGGAUCUUCGCGUCCAGCCUAGCAAAGGUCGUACGUCUGAUCAACUCUCGGGCAGCAAAGAAUUAUGUGAAGUGAAGUAGAUAAAAAAAGAACAUCGAUUUUUUUUCUAUUGAAUUCACUUUGAACCUCAUGCGAACUAGCCUAGUAGAAAUUUGUGCGAACGUGUUAGGCUAGAACUGUUCUGCUGGACUACAAUGUGAAAAAUUGAACUUUGCCGUUGGGCAUCCAUAAAAAAUUAUCGUACUAAUAAGAUUAGAGCGGCGGAAAGCUGAUCGGACGUCGGCUGCAAUUCGCUGUUUAUUUCAAGACAUCAACAAACCUAGAGAGCUGCUUGCAACUGCUAAGGCCCUCAGUUGAAGGCUCUUGAGUAGGCUAAGGUAUUCCUCGCUCAGCUCACCAACUGAAGUCGUUUAACCCGUUCGAGUAUCUAUCUUUAAGUGUGUGCAUGUAUAUGCGCUUUUUCGAACACAAAUGUUCGAUUGUUCACGAAAUGGACAUAGACACAUUGCCAUGACGACCAGUGCUAAGAACUAGAAGUUAGAAGGUGUUUAUAUGUUCCUUAGGUGUCUAGGAGAGAGCUCCCUUUCGUUUAACGGCAUUUAGCGUACGAAGGCAUGGUUGGAACUGCACCAUGUGUCCAAUGCCAUCAUCGCUGCCAAUAGAUCAUCACAAUACAUUAUUAAAUUCAAGGCUUUUAAACUUCUCCUAGCAGAACACCUCCUGAUCAUCCUGGUCGAAGCUGAUUACGCUGAAUUUUCUUAUUAGUCUAAGAAAGUCGAUCGACUGCUUGUACAGUCUCGCAUUGGUUAAUCAUUCUCAUAGCUGUCUAGAACGACAACGCACCACCCAUCGAUUCUACGUUAUCCAACAGAUACUACAUACUCGUUGUUCUGGCCUCAUUUAAUCCAAUCGCGUCGUUAGCCGCUGCUAACUACAAGAUCAUCUCGGGAACCUCGAGUCGUCAUCUUGUCCGCUGUUCAAUAUAUUAUAUAGUAUACUGACGAUGUCGGGCAUGACUACACUGGAAGCCCCCAUUAAGUACGAGCAGCCGCAGUGGCAUCAGAAACAGCCUUAGGGCGAUCCAUCACCUCACUGUUCUCCGAUCUUCGUCGCUUUUCGUUCUCGUCUUCUCGAUUCUUAUAUUUUUUUUUUUUUUUUUUUUUUUUGUUCUCUGAGCUGAGUCAGAACCAUCAUAAAGGAGCAUAUGGUCAGGGAUCUAUCUGUCUGUUUGCGUGUAGCUACUCUGGCAGUCAUAGCCUUCCUGAUUGGUUAUAACACAGAGGGUAAAAGCGGCGUCUUGUGCCGUCACUACCGCAGUUAUGUGAACGGGUAUAGGUAGCUUCUAGAUACAUCACGCGGUACACUGAGUUAGCAAUACCGUGGUAUCGACAAAUGCCGCUUGUAAUGACAAUGUACUGGCUGUAGUCCGUGCUAUGAACAGAAGCCGAAUCUCGAGAAGGCUCUAUGGUACAAAGGGUGCGCGAUGUGUGAUCGAUCUUUCACACUGGCAAGCGAACGAAUGUCGUGUCUCCUCCGUGAUGUUCCCUACCGGGGAAUUGGCACCAUUCCUGUGGCCCCAAUCGGCUCGACGGGCCAGCCCGCACAUCGCAGUGAAGUUUCUUGCAGUUAGUGCUGCUUUUGGUUCGUUGUAAGUUCUACCUGAAUCUGCGCAGUCAUAUAACUUAGCCACGAUACGUCCCGUUUGUAUAAGCUCACUCAGCCGAAGGCAAUAACGGGUUAGUUGUCUGUUACAUAGCUUUUACUAGGGAUGAGUUGCGUUUAAAGCUAACAUCGGUUACUGACGAUGUUAAGGCGAAAGCGAACAAGGAGUGACGCCGACAUCUGAGAAUCACGAAGCAGUGCUUGUCUCAGACUAUGAGCGACACAUGUAUACCAGAAGCACUGUCGUCUGCUUCUCUCAUAGACUGUAUAGCGGCCGAGGCUUAAAUAUUUACUAGCGCCGUCUGGUCUCUCGGACAAAGCGUAUUCCUGCCAACUUCUGACAACUCUUUGUUUCUCGAAAAAAGGCUCUGUUUAAAAAAGACAAUCUGUGUAGACAGUAUUUAGCAAUAUCUAGUGUGCGGAUUAGGGUAUAGUAUUUUUUGCCAGUUAGAACACAUUUACUAUUUUGGAGAGCCGAAUAUGUAGCGCCUGAUCCGUCAUCUCAAUUCCACAUCUCUAGUCCUGCAAAUUUGAAAUGAAGAAAAGAAACAGAAGCAGUAAGGCUUAUCGCUGCUUCGACAUCUCUGAAACGCCAGAGAUUUCGGUCCACUAGAAACCGAUAAAAAGGAAUAAACAAAAUUGUAUUAGACUUAAUAUAUUUAGCUCUAUCGGUGUUUUAAAUUUAAAUGUGGGUCGAACAUUAAUGGGCGAGCCAGCCAUCCGAUGAAUUGCCUAACAGCGUUAGCUGACGCUAAACCCAAAAGAUAGAACAUAUUCAGACAUAUUUGAAUAAUUGAACCAACUGAACACACCUGACGACUAUAUCAGAUACUCAGUUUUUCUGUUGAGGGUUGCAAUCUGAUAAAAAUUUUGGCAAAACUGCCAACAAACGUCAUAGACACGAUGCAGAGCUUUUUUAACAUGACUUCUGCACUCUCAGGGGAACCUUGUACUUCGGAUACGUAACGAGAAGAAUUCUGACGCGGAUAGAGAUGUAUAUGCAGCGCUAUUGGUCACUCGUAUGGAUUUGGCAGCACCACAUAACGUAAUUUUCUGUCUAGUAUUACUUAGCACAGCUUUGAUUAGCAGUAUGAUUUACUCAGCGUUUAUUCAAAUGGAACCGAGAGUUGUCACUUAUGGUUCUGACAUCUAGCGAGAUGUAGAUCAAGCGUAUCCCAGCCCAACAGUCAUAGGUUAUUCGAUCUAUACGGUCCAUACUAGCUCAUCCCGUAUUCGUCAACGGUUUGCUUCCGUAAGAGGAACUUCAAUGAAGAUUUGCCAAGCAAGGCUUACCUGUCAAAGUUCGCUUUUGUCGAUGACACGGAUAGGGCUUCUUUGAAAUAGUCUUCGUCAUACAAGAAUGCUGCCCUACCACAACGUCGCAUGACAGCCAAUCGUCCGCCAGGCUGUUGAACGUAGCUAGUAUCCGCACACGCAUGAACUAACAUAUAUAAUGCUCGAACUUAAGUGAACUUGUCUAAAGAUGAGAACUAGUCCGGGACAAAUCAACUAGCGACUUCGUCCGGCCGAAAAAAGUUCGAUCACUCUGUUCAUGUUCGAAGACUGGUCAUAUCAAGUUGAUUACCCAACCUCCGCCGAAAUGGAUGGGGUUUUUCGACAAAAUGAAGGAAAUGGGGCUACUGCUGCCCGUAGAGCUGCGGCCGUUGUCGAGUAUGUUGUAGAGGUGGAGUGACGAUAUCUGUCUGAUUGAACCCGUCUGACCUCCUUACACCCACAACCCAUUCAAGUCUUAUCAAUUUGCUGUUACCUGAAGUGCAUCAUCAUCGUAGACAGCAGUUCAUGUCCAGGCAUCUUUUGGCAGUUGGAGGAAAUAGAUGGUAUGCGUGUACGAGUGUAUGCGUACGCUUACAUGCACGACUCGCGAGAAAUCUAGGCUAGAUAGGACGCACAUAGGUCGACCUAAAAAAGCUAAUCGAAGACUUGCCUCAGUCUAGCGAGAGAUGCUGUGGUUUCGCCGUUAGUUGCUUCUUUCAAUGCCUAUUUUGCCUGGUUAGGCGGCGCAAUAGUUCUGGCGGAUACAACCGAACAGCACGGUCGUUGCCGCUGUCGCCGCCACCGAGGAAGCCGCGACCGCUUCGAGAGUCAUCUUCAUCAUCGAUCACCCAUUGUCGAGUGAUGAGAAGCCAAUUACAAGCCAAGUACAUCUGUCAUCCUGUUCAGUAGCAGCGAACGUCGACAUCGACGAGGAAUGCUUCAUUCGCGCAACCCCCGCCAUCAAAUCGAGCGUUAGUCCCUCCCGGACCCUUCGUCUUCCUUCUCCACCGUCAUCGCCACUUUAUCUCGAUCUGCCGUACGCCCUAUCAACAUGAUUGACUUUAACAAAUGCUCCGCCGGAUAGAGCUGCAGCAAACCAAGCAAACGCCGAUCUGUUCGAAAACCACGCAACAUCGAUCAGCCUCCACUUAAAUCCGUGUACGCUGUUGCGCUUAACCCCUCGGGUCCGCAGAAAUUCGCUGAACGCGAUUCAGCAGAAUGAAGUUGGCGAGCUCACGGGACCUCGUCCGCAAAUUCACCGGAACGGUCAUCGUUGCCAGGCGCCACAGUGCAAGGGCGCUAACUUCUCAAUGUUGUUUUCUUUUCGGCGGCUCUGCAUCCACUUGGUGUCCACUACGAUUCGCAUUGCUUGUAGUCAGGUCAAACUUCUGUUGUCCCUCAAAGGGCGGUUCUGUCUAGGCCUAGUCGCCGGCCCGUUUCGUCUGUGUGGCCGCCUCUCGAGUUAUCCAAUCUGUUGUCUUGCUUUCGAAGCCAAAUAGGCCAGCAUCAAGCACCUAAGCAGCAGAACUCGGAUGUGUUUCUAGAUGCUUUGAUGCUCACGUUUAUCGCAGUAUCACAACUACAGCUGGUCGUACAGACAUAGACGACCAUCAAAGGUCCUUUUUUGUACCUUUUCUCUUUUGAUGCACUACACGCAACAAACCUACAGAGGAAUAAAUAUCGCAUUCGCCGGUCGCUACGGGCGCUGCAAAUACUGUCUGCAUUUGGUCUACUUUAGCUAUUAGGAGAGCCAGGUCUGACGCGGAUUCUUCUUUUCAGCCAGCAGUCCAGUGCAAUGGUUCUGGCCAUAUGCUACGCUGUUCCGGAGCGCGCCCAACGGACGAAAGAAAAACAGGGCUCUGCUCCGCGAUGCACCGAGUAUAUCGUAAGAGCGACGGCGGCGGCGGCGGCAGUAGUACGAUCUCGUAGGCGCAAUACAACGGAGUCUUGCUAAAACAAGAAAUCACUAACAGCUACAGACAGCGAGCGAGCGGUAUUGCCCGAGGCAGCGCGUAGGCAGAGAGGCGCAUAGCUCAGCGAAGAGGUAAACGUUUUUACGAGUUUCUUUUUUUUCUUGAUUUUUCAUGUUGUUAUAAUACUAUAGAGGCUUGCGCGUAUUGAAGACGACGAUGUCCCGGUGUGACCGAAGAUCCAGGAUCCGGGCCGCCGGAGGUUGAUUAAGGAGGCCUGAGGGCCAUGGCUUUUAUCCGGACGACGACGAUAAGGUGAAGAAUUCGAGCUUCAGUUCAUUGCGUGUGAGUGAAGUGCGUGUGUAGUUUAUGUAGUGGGCGCGGGUCGAAGGUAUUUUGAGAGAGUCAAACAAUGAAAAGGCGCCAAUCGUAAAAUCUAAUUGAAAUUAAAUUUAUGCCGAUCGAUGCCGGCUGAUGCGGCUACCGCCCAACCGUUACGUUGGUAUGAAGCAACCUUCGAACGCGGGUGGUUAUCUCAUGCUUUUAGAUACUUCUGUCUCGCGCCCUCUAUUCAGAUGAGGAAAUGAACUUUUACACUUGAACAAAAUAGAAAUCCGUUCCGUGAUUAACAACAUAGAGCUGUUAGAAUUUCAACCGUUUGUUUACAGGCCGUUGCAAGACCGCGUCAUCGAUAGGUCGACAACUAGUCGUAUCAGCACUGUACUGCUAGCUGCGACGUUUGUUUUUACCAGACGAUGAAGUUGUUCCUAAGUUUAGACAAAGUUGAACUAGAUUACCGCAAAUCGUUCGGAUCAGCCUAUAAAGCGACGAAAACGUUUUAGCUACUAUCGAGGUCAAAAGCCCAGCUAGCGCCACUAUCGACAGAGACAGCCGUGACUGUCGGUCAACUGCCCAUGAACAGUCCGUAAGUUUCAGAAUAGAUGAGGUCCAAAAGCGGAGCUACGUCACUUAUUCUCAAUAUAUAACAAAAUGCAAUCAUCCGACAUUAAUUUUUACGCAUUAUAUCUAGAUGUACAGAAACAUGCAAUGGUAUACUGCGGACUGGUACGUUUUCACGCUCCUUGUGCAUGGCCGGCCAGUCGGUCAAAUCAGAGUAUUGACUGCUUUGUUCCUGCGGGGCGUGUUCCAAGAAGCGACAGAUUGUCCGGCAACAGACCUCCUCUUCUGUGUCUCCCAAACACCAGAACCAUAAGGGUCAGCAUGAUCAUGACCAUCGAUGUGGGUAUAUAUGAUGAUGCAGUACAUAGCAUCGACAACUCUGAGACAACAGCAGGAUCUGUAACAAUGCUGGCGUCAGCUACAGGCGUUCGCCGGAAUCGUCAACAGCUUCGCACUCAUCUCAUGCGCCAGCCGAACCAUGGCAAGAGGCCAACGGCUGGUCGAUAAUAGACAAACGUUGCUGCAAGUGAGCGUCCUAGGCGCAUGCAAACCGACGUCCAAUGGGACGACCAUAGGAGGCGCUUGCGCUAUAGCCAUUCGUAUUGGGCCAACUGUUCAAAAUGUUGGCGCGAAGCUUGAAAUAGCUAAAAAAUUGCAAAAAUCGAAUCCGUCCGUCGCAAGUGGAUUCCGCGAAUAGGCAAAGGUGUGAUAGGUGUCUGUAUUGUUCGUUCGGUACUCGCCUCACGGACGAGAUCGACAAAGGGACGGGCUCGAGCUUCCGAUGCCACCGCGGCAGUAGCGGCAAUUCAAAGCGCUACUAUUAUGAACAUACUGGCGUAGAUACGAGCACAAUUUAAUAUUAAUCGUUUUCAAUUCACACCCAUCCGUCUGUGUUCAAUAUAUGGCACAGCUAUAUCUACAACUGUUAUUUUCAUCGGCAAUGUUUUUCACGGAACUCCUGGCAGCAAACAUUAUUAGCUGCCCAUGUCUACGAAACGAAAUAUAUGGUUAUUGAUGUUUUGCAAAGAUCGCGACAUAUAAUAGUCCUCGAUCGUGCGGAGACAUAGGUCGUCGGCUACACAGGCAUUCUGCAGAUCCAGGCCUAUCAGGCAGAACCUGAUUCGCUUUCGUUCUUCCUGUACAUCCUCACCGCCAGAGCAACUGAUCUCUCUCUCUCGUCACCCAUUACGAAUAGCGUCGGUCGUAUCAAAUGAGCUUACUUAAUCCAGGGUAUACAAGCGGAACGUCAACAACGACACCUCAGAAAGACUUCAAGAAGCAUGUCAGCUUCGGCAACUUUACCUGCGCAUCCGACCGGCGUUUCCAAUCGGAACUUCUUCGUUUUUCAAACAGCCAGCCAUGUCUGCUGUGUAAGCACAGGUGCAGCGACCACCGGGGGACCAUCAACGAGUCCUACUGAACGCUCAGCCACCGCAGCAACCGCAGUCAGCAACGUGGUGGGCAUUCGUCCUUACACCUCCCGUCUUGUGUUGCCAGCCGACCGAUACGAGAAGGCCUAAAGCCAAACGAAUAGAUAAUGGCUAGCAUUCUUAAGUGUGCCGAAAGGCCUUAAGUUAAGGUUUUAAGAAAUGACGGCAUCGUUUACAAAGUCGCCAGCUUCGGCGCCGAUUGCUACGAUAGUCGAGCCCGAAAUCGAAGCGCAACUUAUUGGAGGAUGACUUUCUCCGCCGGUUAGCCAGCCCGUCAACGGUUUCACUUCCUAUAACAUCUGCGACGGAUAGAAGCUAUACUUCCGUGUUAUUGUACGCAACGCAUAGAGGAAGAUAUCCUCGUCGUAGCCUAAGAGGAUUUCGUCGGGAACGUGUUUCAGCAUCGCUAGGAAGAAAAAGCUGUACUGGGAUAAUUUGACUCUAGGUCGAAGUAGAUCUGAUCCAGGUGUCACUGCUCUCGUUCUUCUUUAGCAGUUCGAAAUUGAACUUCGGUAUAUUCGACUGCUGUGCCCUUUUGCGUUCCUCUAACCUGUAGACAUUCACUACAUAGGCUAGCCAGCGGAAUCAGCCGAACGUGUGUGCAUGUAUCGUUAUUCAGGUAGAUGUACCAGAGGUUAAAUGCCCUCGAAGAACAGACGAAUAGCAAGGCUUCGACCUAGCACGAAGGUCAUAACCAGAGCUGAGGUUCAUGUCUGAGCUGAAAAUAGGAAACCUGGAAGGUGCGGCGCAGUUGUUCAAGUCGGACAGAAUAGGACAAACGACAGUAAAAGAAGCAGAAGAGGUCGCUCGCUCUGAUGCUGGCAUUUGCCGCGGUAUCUGAGCUACUUGUUGCCAGGUGGCAGAGACUGAUAGAACCUACGCCUGCACCAACCUGCGCCUGCUGAGCAGGUCACGAAUCUGGGUUAAGACAGCGCUAAGGCGGGCACCUUCUGCCAGAAGUGUGCACUUCUUACCUAUUGCAUUCAACCAGAAUUAAGGCACGAAGUAGAAGUUCGGCAGCCUGGCGCACGCGGACCUUGCGCCGCCGUUUGUGAACUAGAAGCAGAAGUUGUUCAUGAGCGAGCAUCGAGAGCAGCAUCAUCAGCCAGACAAGCUGUGAUCAUCAGCGCGAUGCAGGUUGCCGACCUCAAACAAUAACACGUACUGCGACAUAGAACACGGUGGUAUUGUCAAGGUUUGUUGCACUACCAUUUCCUGUUUACGCUCUGCUGUUACUAGGGCUCGUGGAUCCUCCAGUUGAUCAAAGGCAAGCGCGCACCUGAAAUCCGAGGUCUCCAUGCACUGACGCAUGGGAACUCAAUUCGAAAAUAGACUAUCAGAAGCGCCUUCUCAUCGGCAGCCGAAAGAACGACGCUGCUCGUGUUGACGGAGCAGCUUUACUCACUGGCUUGUAGAGUGGUUGAAUUGUCGUGAACUUUCCAAGUUCUACUCGCUGGCCGAACAUCGUAGCUAGUGGUGUCAAAGAAGAUUAUUGACCCGUGUAGGGAAACCAUUGAGCAGGCGUUUUAUGUUUUGCAUGUUUCAAACAUCCGUAUCAAUCUAUGAGUUAAUAUAGGUAACCUAUUGGUGGCCGGACAGCCUUACCUGAAAUUAGAAAAAAAAAAAAGAAAGUGCACCUUAUGUAGAGAUGUUACUGCCAUGUCUAUGUGUACUAUAACAAACAGCUGCGCUCACGAUGACUUUCAGUAUGAUGGCUUGAAUGAUUGGGCUAAAGCACCCUACGAACAUCCGUCAAUCGGCAUUGCCAUGGACUAAAUGUUCAUCGUAUACUGCAUAUAUAUAUUACAGAUAAAUGCCAGCUACAGUAACUACGCCAUGCUUGAUAUAUGCUUAUCAUCAAUACAACGCAUACAGCGUCUGAAUCUCGUCGCGUUAACAAUGAGCUGGUAUGAAGAUAAUUUGAUUAGAGUAAAAUGAAUAAAAAUUCGUUUGUCCGUUUACCCCGCACCCCACUGAAUUGUCAUCCUUCGCAACUGCAAAAUCUAGUGAACUGUGUUGCCAGUAGUUCAAGUCUCGCGAAAGGGGGUACGAACUCUUGCAAGCACGUGUCCAGUAUAAUUCAAUUGUGCCGACGCUCCAGCCGGUCGCCCCCUUCCAAAUGAACCCCAUGUACCCCAUGUAGAGCAGCACCGUAUGCCCGCAAGCUGGGCUGGCAUCCCUCUUCUAAAUUCUAUACAGCAGAAACACCCGCUAUCAAUAUCAUAGCCUUGUCUCGAAUUCGUUGUCAACCUGGCUUUACUAGUAGUACAAGUAUUUUAGUAGCACUGAUAGCGGCUGGCAGUAUCACAUGCUUCAUCGCGGCUGUCCGCCUCUCGAAAGGUGGAUGCCAAAGCCACCGCCACAAACUUGAUUACAGCCGCGAUUACCUCAGGCCGGGCGGAUAGCAGGCGAGGGCGAACGCUCUAAGUUAAUUUGAUUUCUACUGCAAGCCUUAAGCGGCGGUUCAGGGUCAGCUUGACAGGCUAUUACUACCGAGAACGUAUACUCAGCCACUCGAAGGCAAAACUAUUAAGACUAUCUCAGGUCUAGUAUUAUUAGCUAGUAUUAUGAGAGUAUUACGUAAAUUGUAUUGAAAGCCUCGAAGACAGCAGUCAAACAAACAAAGGACGCUUGCAUCUAGGCUUCUUCGGAGACGCGCCGCACUUUACCGAAAAACCUUAAUAGUGCCCUCGAUGAGAUAUGUAUGUGCCCUCGGCUUCGCAUUAUGUCGCUACGAUGAUGUAAAAGGAGCCCGUACAAGUUCGUUGUUAGCCUCUACUGUAGUAGUCGACUGAGGUAUGACGUCGCGAAGCUCGUUCGUUGGGAUGCAGGUUGAAAUGAACCUUAUACACGACACUAUCUGGCGCAUGCAGGCGCAGCAGUCCCUUGGUUCGCGUAUGGAAAUUCACCGUGGAUGAGCUCUCCCACACAUAGCCAUGCAAGCCCGACACAACCCGUGGGAACGUUGCACACCCAAAAUUACAGCGACAUUGCCCAGCGCUGGAUAUUGGGUUGGCUGUCACAGUUGUUGCAUUUUGGCUACGUAGCAGGCAAACGAAGAUCGAAAUCGACAGAUGUCAGUAGACACUCGCAAACUUACCACGCCAUAACACUUUCACGGGUACGAGGUUGUGUCGCGCCACCUUUGCAAGCGUAGUAAAGUAGCGUGCAGUGACAACUAUACGAGCUUUUCGAGAAAGCGUAUCGGCUGCCUUUCUAAUAUCGCUUAGGUACACAAGUGGUCGAGAUAAGGGCAUUGAGUUCGACGAAUUGUGCCAACGUCCAACGAAUAUGGUAGCGAUUAAGUGCCAAAGCUUGAUAUAAUCAUCUUCGAUUUGGCAAGAUCAAUAUGUGUAACAAUGUAUAUAUAUACACGUUCCUGCUGAUGACAAAGUUACUUUCAUAUUACAGAAAGUAUAACCAGCCCCUUGUCGUUUAUCGAAUUCGCCCCGUCGUUCUGCUAAACUAAUUGACCUUAACUGUUUUGAGUAACGGCCUUCCGUGCCAUGUCGUCUCCUAGUGUAUAGCAGUACGUAAUUGUAUUAUUUACUUUCUAAUCAAUUGCGGUCGCAAACGUCAUUGAUUACAAUAUUAACACUGGUGCCUUAGCGGUGGUUUACAACGUCCAAUGAACUUGUGAGAUCAAGCACAAACUGCUUAGUAUGGUAUCCACGCAGACUCUAGUGGUUCUACCAAGAUUUACAGCCGGCAAAAAAGCUAUGGCUGUCCGCUCAAGUAGACCUCUUGUAAUACUUUGGGCCUGUAGGACAAUUGUAAAGGUUUUUGAAGUCCUUGAAAGAAACAGCUUUGCUCGUCGUGCGAUUGCGUCGAUCUGCCAUCGAAUCUGCCAGCAGCAAUAAACAAUAUCCAGAUUCAGCAUAAUCAGCUGAUAGUCGGGUCCGCAAAACUUUCUAUCCUAACAGAGUAAUCGUAGGGUCCUCUCAGACUUCCGCCGCGUGAAAUUUAAUGAAAUUUAUUGCGGCCUUCAUGACGGCGGCAACCCCGUGACCAAUAUAUGAAGAGGACGAGUGACCACACGACAAUCCGAAGCGCGUUAUUCUAGCGCCCAAAGGUCAGAGUCCAUGAUAUGUUUGUACAUGAACUGAUCUGGGGUCUCUCGAGUUGCCAGCUCGCGGCGUUGACCUUCAAGGUCAAGUUGACUCAAUCUAUACGUAUUCUGGACGCAAUAACAUGACCUAAAGACUCAGCAGCGUAUCGUGCACAGGGUGCAAUGGAACGCGUAUGUAUCUUUAAUCCUGUUACGAGCACGAUUAAAGCCCUAUCGAGUAAGAUAAUGCUUAUAAAUAUACAACUUAUAUGGCUACAUGUAAUAGUUUCAAACGCAUUUAGUUCAGUAACGGCCAACCACACGUAUUACUGAUUAGCGCUUUACGUUCAAAUUACGGCGGUGAGACCAGUUACGUUAGGUCAUAUUUUUCAAAUAUCAAAAAGUCGCUAAGGAUAUUGCGGCGAACCCAGUGAGAGUUUACAAUAAGCUCGUGGAACCUUGUGCUUGACAACCCCGAAAUAUAUUGACAAAAAAUUUACCACGAAUGAACGUGAAGCACGUACAAGAGAUGAAAUACUCCUUUAUUUGUAUUUUGGUAAACCCCUUUCUUUGUAGCCUUUUAUUUGUCCUACAGUUGGCUACACCAACACUCUUUGAUAACGACUAUUGCCUAAUUGUCCCGCUAUAUAAACAAACAAACAAACAAACACUGCGUUUUUCCGAAAUGUUUCUGUUUGUACUAAUUUGGCUGUUUUUCUUACAGACUCUGUCAGAAAAGACAGGAAGGAGAAAUUAGCCAAGAUCCAUGUUUUCAGGCUGAAGAUUUGCUUCCAUAUUAAAAAACGAUAUGCGGUGUAGAUUUUGACCACAUUAUAACCACUUUUUUUCUAAUUAUUCGCAAAGGCUGAAAUCCUACGUUUCAGCAGCAACGGCCCGGUCCUAAGUUAAACUUCAUUCAAAUAGAAGGCCAGCAAAUCUAUGACUGGACGAACUCGUCCCGCAUGCCCCCCAAACCAACCAAAUUAUUCCAAUCUUCAACCGGUAGAAGCAGCAAAAACUUGCAACGAUCAGUUAGCCUGUUAUCCACCUUUUGUCUGGUGCCGUGCUUAAAUCAGCCAGAAGCGGAUGGCACAAAUCCUUUGAGGCUUUUCAGCUCUCGAGAUGUACGCGUGUUUCCCACGCGUCUCACUCCAACCGUUUCUUCUGUCAAUCGCUGAAUUACCUUAAUCAUAAUGCUUAGGGUCGUUGUGGCCGUCCGUCCAACUGUUGGGCCUGCCGCUACUUCUGCUACUACCAUAUUUCUCUCGCUAUUGUGCCGCUUGUCCAGCGUUUCCUCUCCGUAUUUUUCUUCUCUUUGAUGCGUUCUUUAUCUGCUCUCGGCCUUGGCUGGUCUCUAACUUUGCGUGUCUGCUGCAGUCGCGGCGUUGCCGUCGUUGGCUGUGAAGUGUUUGGCCGACCGUUCCAUUCUUGGUCCCGUAUCUGUGCCUGCUCGUGAACUCCACGAGCCUGGCGGCCGCGCGCAAGCGACCCGAACCGGCCUAUCGACUGGCCUGUACAUGGUUUCGUCUGCCGGCUGGCACACAGCACUUUGCCUCUUCUCUUUUCCUGGCUUCCUUCGCCACCAUCAUAGCCACUUGUGUUUGCUGUCAUUCUUGUUCGUAGCUGUCUACGGUGGCUGCUGCCUCGUGCUCGCCACUCGCCACCUGACUACCGGGUCGACCUAGUCGGCCACUGCUGUUCAGGUAACUAUGUCUUUAGGCAGAAACUAUUCCUUCAUCUUCGAUUCGACGGUGCCUGGCGCGGCCGCCAUAGGCAACAACUGCAGUCCGAUGCUCAGCAAAGAAUAGCGAGAGCAGAUUUGUGGUCCUGGUUAGAACACAAUGCUGUUGUCGGCCGGCCUGCAUAUCUACCUAUUGGACGACUUGCAGGCACAAUUGGGGCACACACAGUCCAUGCGAUAGCCACCACAACAGCGCCCGCAGUAGCGACAACCUCAGCCGCCCCCUGCACCUCCAUUUUAAUUCUGCCUGAGACGUCGUAAUGGUUGUGGAUGGACUGUAAUCAAGUAAGUGUUCUGAGGAGGUCAGCGGACCCGUUCCCACGAUCGACGAUGCCGAGAGACACAGCUAACCGACAUUUGUGUCCAGUGUUUACGAACGCAUGCAGCAAAGAUACUUCAUGGACGAGUUGCGCAAGGAUGCAAAUACCUGUUUGAAGAAGCGCAUGAAAAAUUACAAUAACAAAGCUUACUCUCUAAAGCAUGGAGUGUUUCUGGAAGCGUUUUUAAGAGCAGAUACGUAAACGACAGUUAUGGUAACGAUACUGCUCAUCCGUAUCUUUUGUUAUGCGUGACAAAAGAUUUGCCAGUACGUGUCACAAACCAUGGAACCUCGCUGUUAACUAGCUUAUGAGUUGCAGCCUUGCACCCGCAUCACUGUCAACGAAACCACGUCGCGAAGUCCCCAGAGUCUCGAAAAUGUGUCGCUCAAUCUGCUCGAGCCAGACAAAGAAGAUCUACUCCUCAUCGCGUGGGAACGCACGCGUCGCGAAGCUCUCAGACUCGGUCCCAGGCCCGGAGCAGCCAGAUCCGAUCGGCAUAGGACGACGAGUACUCCUCACUUCACCUUCAUGUAGGACGACCGGCCUGUUGUCCUCUCGGCCGGGUACGAAGACCUGAGCCAAGUUGUACUGGCAGGAGGCUAGGUGGGGUAGAAUCGCCUUUAGCUCCGACACCCGACAUCAGGUCGUAGCAGGCGGUAGGUAGUAGCAUUCGAUGUUAGUGUCUGGUACGGCAGCAUGCUAGCGCGCGGUUCGAAACGCAACCCCUGUUUCUCAGGCAGCUCCCUCAGCCUUGCUGAGGUGGUUCAGCGAGCGCUUCAGUUGCAGCCUCAACUUCCUCCUCACCCACUCAGUGGGUAACUCACUGGCUCCGCCUCCUCCGGUACCUCGCCUGAUGAGAGCCAUAAAAGCCGAGCGAACUGGACACCGACAAUCAUUGCAUCUCAGGCAAACCUCGAUCGCCUUGAGCCAUUCUGCGAGCUCAGUGCACAACCUUGGAUACUACCUUACCGACUCCGUUGAAGCUCGUUCUUUUUGGGAUACACCUACGACCAGCCGUUUUACUGAUCAGCUCACUUCAAAACAGCUGAUCACUAACUACCCACAAUGUUCGCCAAGAUUGCACCUCACAACCUACCUUCCUAUUCGAAGAUGGACAAUCUCGACGAUACAUUCAUCAGUGUCCCACCAACGCCGACUAGCCCAAAGGCCCCGCUCAGUCCGGUGGUCUUACCAACGAUAUCAGGCCGCGACCAGACCGACCUACUUGAAAUGGGGCUGUACGUACCGAUUCGCAUCGAGGUCGGCAAACCCGAACCCGCCUCGAGUUUUUUGGCUCCUCGCAAGGACUACGCCUUCUGGAUCUUCCUCUGUGCUAUCCUCUGUAUCUUUGCCGUCGCCUGCGCCACCGUACUGCACAUUACGGCGUCACAGCUCAACCAGUUUCAGCAGCUGAGGACGAUGGAGCUCUACCGCACUAUGAGCUAGGAUGUGUCCUGCCGACGAAACUAGUCAACGUACCAAAUCGAAUCGUCGAUAUUAGUUCAAAGCCGAGACGAAGAACUAAAACUACCAAGUGAUCUUCCUCCCUUAUGAGAGUCUUCUCAAGGAUUGAAGAAACACAGAAUUUCUCAAGGCUCUUAAAAGCUCCCGUGAAAAGCCCGUGUCCUGUUCACUGUGACGGUCAUUUGAGCACAACAAGGAAGGAUGACAAGACAUUGUACAUAUUGUUCCAGUUGCAAUAGUGCCUUAAAGUAUUUAUUAUAUGAACUUUUUUGUAAAUGUCAAACCAAGGCAUAGAUAUUAAAAGAAAACCAUAACUUAUUAUAAAGU